AAACGACUCUCGGCAACGGAUAUCUCGGCUCUCGCAUCGAUGAAGAACGUAGCGAAAUGCGAUACUUGGUGUGAAUUGCAAAUCCCCGUGAACCCUAUGGAGUCUUUGAACGCAAGUUGCGCCCCAAGCCUUCUGGCCGAGGGCACGUCUGCCUGGGUGUCACAAA
rnacentral:rRNA from 1 species